GAUGAACGCUGGCGGCGUGCCUAAUACAUGCAAGUAGAACGCUGAAGGAAGGAGCUUGCUCUUUCCGGAUGAGUUGCGAACGGGUGAGUAACGCGUAGGUAACCUGCCUGGUAGCGGGGGAUAACUAUUGGAAACGAUAGCUAAUACCGCAUAACAGUAGAUGUUGCAUGACAACUAUUUGAAAGGGGCAAUUGCUCCACUACCAGAUGGACCUGCGUUGUAUUAGCUAGUUGGUGAGGUAACGGCUCACCAAGGCGACGAUACAUAGCCGACCUGAGAGGGUGAUCGGCCACACUGGGACUGAGACACGGCCCAGACUCCUACGGGAGGCAGCAGUAGGGAAUCUUCGGCAAUGGACGAGAGUCUGACCGAGCAACGCCGCGUGAGUGAAGAAGGUUUUCGGAUCGUAAAGCUCUGUUGUAAGAGAAGAACGAGUGUGAGAGUGGAAAGUUCACACUGUGACGGUAUCUUACCAGAAAGGGACGGCUAACUACGUG
rnacentral:rRNA from 1 species